UUUGGGGUUUUGCUUCAUCUUGGAAUACAGAGCAGUAGAUAAAAUGAAAAUCUUGUAUGAAUCUGUAUUGAAACUAGCCAGUAUGUACAUAGUUUAAUUAAUUUGUAUCAUUCUCAUCUACUCUGCAUGAGUAGAUAAGACAAAAGAACAGGACAGGAGUCCUCCAAAAGAGGUAUCAGAUUAGUUUCUCUUUUCUCUCUUAGAAUGCUGCAAGACUGACAGAAGAAGUGAAGUUAGUCAAGUAGUGACUGUCAGAAAAAAAUGAAGUUACAGAAGCAUGGUAAUAUUGUUCUCUACUGAGAGAAAAGUGUAAAGGAUAACAUACAGUUGUUGUUAUCAACAGAUUAUGAAGAACACAAGGGAACUCAAUUCUUUAUAAUAAGGGCAAGACAGCAUUUUCCGUAGUCUUUUUUCCUGUUUCCGUGUCCUUAACACAUUCCCCACUUUCUUUCACUAUCAGACAACCUUUUACUGAUGCAAAAUAGCAGAAAAUAAGACAAUUUUAGUCAUUCGGUGUGAACUCCUUUAAGCAAAUCUGGCUAAAGGCUUUCUUUCAAUCCUGAAAGAAAAAAAGCAGUCUGUCAGAAGAUAUGCACAUACUUACUUACCCUUUCUAUGUAUAAAACUGUUAGGUAUAUAGAGCAUGCUUCAUUUGAGACAGUAUUUAUUUCUCUAACAUAAUCUGAUUUUCUAGUAAGUAAGUAAGGUGUCUUAAAUGGCCAGGGAGCUUUUCCUCCAUAACAAAUGCCACCCAUGUCAGUGCUAUAGCAACCAGUACUAUCAAGGUCAAAGUCAAAUCAUUAAACUGUAAACAGUUCUGUUUAGCAAGGGGCAGAUGUCAGAACUGGCUUGAUUCACUGUCUCCAGGAAACAGAAAAACAAGCUUUUUCAUCAACCAAGAGCAGGAAGUUAUUGUAUACCUAAAUAGUAAAUAUUACAAAAUUUCUACCCUAGAAGUUAGAAUUCUGUAAUAUAAAUAUAAGUAAGUAAGUCACAAAGAAUGAAACCUCAAACUUCAGAUGCACUGAAAAUCAAGACAUUUUGAAUAUCUAUCACUUAGGCCUUUGAAUAUGCUAAGAAGUGAAUCAGCACACUAAUAGCUAGUGGAACAACUGAACCACUUUUUGUACUUUUAGUAUGUAAGCCGUGCUAUUCAGUUACAUUUCAGUAUUACUAUUCAUUAAUGACAGCAUACAAACACAGAAUAAAACUACAUGUGAAGCUUGGAGUAGAGGUGAAAUUAGCAUUUCUCAAACUGUUACCAACUUCAUCUUGCAUCAGAGUAAUUUUGUUUCAGCUGAAACUUAACAUACCAGCAGUUCUCAUUUCCGGACCUUGCUCUAUUCAAAUGUCGAGUACACUUAUCUUCUUCAUCUUUAUAAUGAAAAGUAUGACUAACUUUUCAAAGAGAGAGAGGUUUUGGCUGCUUUUUGCAGUAAGGGUUACUACCUUAACAUUUCAUUAGGUACAGCAAUUCUCAUCCAGUUGCAUUGCCACUGAUUGAUUAUAGAGAUCAGUAAUAAAACUCUGCUGUUUGCAGAAGCUCUUAAUUUUAGUCCUACCUCACAUAUCCUUUUAGAACCUGCCAGCUGCUUUCCCCUUGGUCUGUUCAGCCUGCUCACAAAACUUUCUUUUCCUUGGUUGUGUCUCCCACAAAGCUACUGCUGCUCUCUCACAUUCCUUUAUUUGUGCUUCUCUUUCUUUGAGACUUCGUCCUUUGAUGACUUCAUCAAAUUCCAGUAUUUAGAACACGUUCCUGUAAACCAACUGAGUUCAUCUUUCUCAAGCCUUUACCUUGUAUUCAAACUUGACAUUGCUUUGUGCCCUGUAACAUAAACAGCUUCUGCAGUCCUGCUUUCUACUUUUACUCUAAAUAACUUUAUAAAAACGCACUGCUGCUCCGCACUUCCUGGAUCAGGCACUGCUCUGUCUCAGUGAAGUUUCCAUGGUGCUUAAUAUGUUUUAGUAAUAAUGCAGACUAAUUAAUAUUUAGGAUUCAGAGGCAUGCUACCUACUUAAAACAUUGCAUCUGUAAACUCUCUGUCUGAGAGCAAAACACUGAAAAACAUCCUAAUUCCCUAAUCUGUUUACACUGAUGCCCAGAUGACUGCCAUGUGCAUGAUGGCAGAGGCUACUGUUUGUUAGAGCAACACCACAUUUUUGUUAAGUGUAAUUAUGUGCCAGUGAAAAAAUACCAAGUUGUUAUUUUUGUAUUCUACCUAACAAUUAUUGCUGUUUUGCAACAAAUACAGCUCCUUGAGUUUAGUCACUUUUUGCUUUUUGCAGCCCAGUUAAAUUAACUCCUGCUUUUUCUUGCAAGCCAACUUUGGCUAAUGUUUUCUUUGAAAUACUUAAAGAUUUCUGAAAUAGUAUAGUUAAUCUAAGUAAACUUACAUGUUUCCAUAUUUCUCCAGUCCUCUCAAUUACAAUAGUGUGUGAUUUAUUGACUGGUGAUGUAACCUUGUAGUCAUCAGACAAGAGACCUAGAAUUGGAUACUGAUUCCUGUACCUGCAUUAAAAGAAUUGAAAUCCUGUAAAACAUAACACUAAAAUCUGCAUACCUGUAUCCAAAUUACAGAUUUUAUAAUUCUUCUAGUUUAGUUAUCAAUCCCCAAAUAUUUUUACUAGUAACUAAAAAAAUGUCAUUUAAAUAGCACUUUGACAUACUGGUUACUCUUCAAUUGCUGUUACAACGCUUAGUGGGAAUAUCUGUACAUAUUCACCCUAGAUGGGUCUUCCCAGCUUGACUUUUUCUCCUAAAAGCUGAGUAGAUAACGUUAAGAAAUUUGAAGGAUGAAAUGACUUAAUUAAUAGAAACUACACAAUGGAAAUCAAAAGAAUGCAUUUUUAAAGAAAAGUGAGUAACUACAUUACUUCUUAAUGAUGGUGGCUGUUGUACCAGGGGACUGAUUGCAUGAUAAUCUCUCUUGCUUCAAUCUGAAAAGGUCCUGAGAAAACAAAAAAUAAACAUUUAAAUGAAAUUAUAUUUGCUAAUUCAGCAAAGUCACAACAAAAUAAUUGCAGAACCUCAUCUCAAAGAACAGUCUGAAAUAUUCUGUCCUUCCAAGAAACUAGCAGGGAAACAGCAUCAUCAAAUAUUCAAUUAAAAAAAAAAAAUCCUAUUCCUGAUUCGGGAUGGUGUUACUUCUUAGUAAAAUGCCAUCUUCAUAGUAAGUUAACACUUAAACCUAACAUUCCUAAAACAGAAUUAUGUUACUUUACCUCUUGUUGUUGCUUAAUAAAAGCAUCUUUCUCCUCCAGCAUUGAUGUCAGUUCAUGCAACCUUAUUUGCAAGUCACUGUUAUUUCCUUCUCUUCUUGAUAUGUCUUGCUGGAAUUGUGAUAACUGAGACUAAAAAUAGAAAUAUGAUAAAGAAGAGUUAAGUAAGUGUUCUGUGUUCCUUGCAGGUGACCUUUAAGCAUGCAUCUAUGACUGGAUAUACUUUUCCAUUACACCAAACAUGCUUGAAUUAGUAGAAUUUCAAAAACCUUGUUUUUGAACACAUGCAUUUACAUAAUAUGUAAUAUAUAGAUAUAUGCAGAUUUGCACAGACUAAUCACUUUUAAAUGAACAAAGGUUGAGCUGUACAGUGAAUUCAGAGAGUACCAGUUGGACUCAACUCUUUCAGUAUCUGUGAUAAUUCAACUAACAGAUUCAUAACUUGAGAAAUUUAACACAACACUGAACAAACUGGUUUCCUGGAUGAUUAAAUGUUAAUACUAGGGAUUUAUCUUUAUUUUCUAGAUUUUUUUUUAAUCACAGUUUUAUGUUCUACACAAGGGUUUCAGAGUGAUUAUUAGUAUCGUACAAAGUAAUUGCAGAAAUCUAAAGAGUAUAUUUGCUAUAUCUUUCCUCUUUCUUAAUUAAAAAAUAACCCAUUUACCUGCAGUAAUACACAGUGAGGAAUACACCCAUAUCAGGUUAAUCAACAUACCCUAAGACUGCGGAUCUCACGAUCUUUAUCCUCUCUCAAGUUGUUGAUCAUCUCUACGUAACGGCUAGAGAGUUCAUCUGUGGUGGUCUGAAGCGUUGGAUUAGAACAGGUCUAUAGAGAAUGAAAUGGCUUUUAUUUUUAAAAGAUUUUUGCAAGCUUAAUUGCUUUACAGUUGAAUUUGUGAGCAACAGCUACUGUAAACAGUAAAAUGAGCCUAUUACCUGUAGUCUCAAGUUCUGGAUCUCUUGCUCCAAGGCACGCUUGCAGUACUCCAGUUCUUUUAAUUGGCAAUCCUUUUCUCCCUCACUGAGCCGAAGAGAAAGGAGCUGUUCUUCCAGAGAGCGACAUUUUGCAGUACUCUCUCUGAGUCCUUGCUGGAAUAUACCACACAUUAAUUACUCAAAAUCCUCAAAGACUGAAAUAUGGAGUAGUUUUUGGUUGACUAACUACAUUGAAAAUGUUUCUAAAGUCACCUGCUGCUGACGAUUAUUUUCUCUCAAGGAAGUCAGCAUAGUUUCAUACUCUUUAACUUGUGAAUCUUUAAAAGACAAAUCCUUCUUAAGACAGACAUUGUCGGUUUCUAAUUUCUGUAAGACAAAAGUAUUUUAUUGUGAAUAGCUGCAAUUUUUCAGUAAACCUUUCCCCAUGUUCAAAAUUCAAAGUAAUGAGUAAUUAAUAAGUGAUGACUUAGAGAAAAUUUUUAGUUUAUUUGGGACUGCUUUGGGGGUUUUUUUACUGAGCUCAGAGCUGCUCAUAACUGUAGUGUGUGUGGCUUCCUGUUGUGUGGUAAGCACUGUAAUCUUGGAUAGUGCUCCUUCAGCCUGUCCCAGAAAAGACUGACUUGUAGUUAUUAAACAGAAAUCAACAAAAAUCCCAAGCAAAGACCGCUUCACUGCACAGACUACUUGUUUUACAUUAAUGAUGUGAGGGGAAGCUAGCUAGCUAGCUCUCUCUCUCCCUCUCCCCUCCUCCCCCCCCAACACUGCAUUUCAAAAGAGAAUGUUGUGAAGUUUCCAGGCUGGCUAAGAAAAAGUUCUACCAUGAGACAACUUCUGCUUUCAGAACAGCAGCUAUCUACACUCUGUAUCAGAGCUACAGAACUGCAGCUUCCAAGUUCUGAUAUUCCACUCUGGAGACUCGCUCGAGUCCUUAAAGGUACCAGCUGACAGCAACUCUUCUGUAAGUGGGGAAUACAGCUUGCACAUAGGAGUGAAUGGAAGUGAGGUCUCCUGCUUCCUGGAACAGUGCUACUAUAUAAGCAGUUGGUCCAUAUUAGAACAUUAAGUAAUGAGGUAUCAACAAGGGAACUGAGAAGUGUGGCUUACCCCCAAAUCAUCCUGUAAAUGGCAAAGCUCUUCACGUAAAUUUUUAAAAGUGGAAAGCACAAGCCUCAAUGAUUUAUCUGAUGUCACUCGCAUCUAGGAGGAAAAGAAACAAAUAAAAAAGUAUGUAUUCUGAUUUACUAGUGAGCUUUGUUUACAAUAAGCAAUGUGUAGGAGAAGAGAACUGCUAUACAGCUGAAAACAACUUUUACUCCUAGAACUAUUGCUCAAGUCAUUGUAGAAACUGUGGACACUUUAAAGAAAGAUUCAUUUUCAUGCAGUGUGUUCUGCAACUAGCACAACUUUUGAACUAUUGUGCUUUCUAAUACAGAACAGAACAUUUUUAAAAAGAAAGGAACAGAAGAAAGGAGAACUGAAUGGGUUAAUAUCUCACAAUCAAGUUCAGAGCUCUAUGUGUUAUAGUAAUGAAAAAAGGAACCACUCUACCUGAGAAGCCACAGAGGAAUGGAUUCAUCAUCUUUGAGAGCUGUUAAACCGAACUUUCAGCCCAAAGGCAAAGCAUUAAAUGAAAAUAAAAAUAAAAAACACUCAAACUACCGACUUUUUCCUUUAAAGGGAAAAAAGUUCCCAAGGAUUAAAGGAGUCACCUAGAUGAAAAAGAAAAGCAAUAAUGCUCAAUAGACUAACCCUGUCUCCUUUUUUUUUUCUGUUAAUACAUUGUAGAGAGCUGUGUAUUAAUUCAUAUUAGAACACAAAUUGUUGCAUUUCAUGGUAGUUUUCUAAUAUUUGAGAGAAAAAGUGCACAAAAUAAUCCCUCAAACUUUUGAGAAAUCUAGAAAGGCUGGACAUUCUAGUUAAAAGAUUUAUUUUUAAAUACCUGGAUCAAAAUUAAAUCUUUGUCCUGUUUUUCUUCCUCUAGUACUUGUCUUAACACCAUGCAAGAAAUAUCUUAAUAAUUCAAACUGAAACAAGCUAUUAGAAUCUCUAUCACUGAUUAGCCCUUCUUACAUUUGUCAACCGUAGUGGUGCUAUUAUGAGACAGAGGCUUCAAACGUAAUGUUUCUAGUGUAACUAACUGAUCUGUUUUAUUGUAAUUAAAAUGAAACUUCAGUUUUGA